GACGAACGCUGGCGGCGUGCCUAAUACAUGCAAGUCGAACGCUUCUUUCCUCCCGAGUGCUUGCACUCAAUUGGAAAGAGGAGUGGCGGACGGGUGAGUAACACGUGGGUAACCUACCCAUCAGAGGGGGAUAACACUUGGAAACAGGUGCUAAUACCGCAUAAAAGUUUAUGCCGCAUGGCAUAAGAGUGAAAGGGGCUUUCGGGUGUCGCUGAUGGAUGGACCCGCGGUGCAUUAGCUAGUUGGUGAGGUAACGGCUCACCAAGGCCACGAUGCAUAGCCGACCUGAGAGGGUGAUCGGCCACACUGGGACUGAGACACGGCCCAGACUCCUACGGGAGGCAGCAGUAGGGAAUCUUCGGCAAUGGACGAAAGUCUGACCGAGCAACGCCGCGUGAGUGAAGAAGGUUUUCGGAUCGUAAAACUCUGUUGUUAGAGAAGAACAAGGACGUUAGUAACUGAACGUCCCCUGACGGUAUCUAACCAGAAAGCCACGGCUAACUACGUG
rnacentral:rRNA from 1 species